ACAUCCUGUUUGCCGGGCAGGAUCAAUGAUUCAGGUGUGUGCUGCUUCCGGAAUACACGGGGAUUUACCUGCAUCUACCUGUGAAAAGCGUCGUCAAGACAACCAGCCCCACCCAGUACGACCCAUCCAAACACUUCUGGAUCGCAUCUAACCGGUCGACAAGCCAGUAUCCGGCGAAGCCCUCGUACCAAACACUUCAUUUCGCAAGGAUUCGAAAACCGGGCGUUUAGUGAAACGAGCAAUUCUACAGACAUGGUUGAGAGCAAAGUUUCUUACGCCAUAAUGUCAGAUACUACCGUUGGGGGUAAAAGUUCAAUUAGAAUGCAUAAUCUUCAGAGAGGUGAGCUAAAUGGGAGUGUUCGGAGAGAUAGGUCUGCCCCCGACAAAGGUCUCUCCGACGAUGCGCGAUCUAGUGUGAAAUUUGAUCUCCGCUCUGAUUCCAAAAUGGGGAAAAUUAAUGCUCCAAAGUCGGGAAAAGCUAGAAAUGUUCAUAGUACUGCUUCAUUUCCUUCGAAGACAACAUCGGUACAAAGCAGUCAGAACAAAGAAAAUAAACCGCAAACUGUUUCAAAACCUUCAGAAAACACAGUGCCUAAACCAAAGAAGUCAACAACAGAAGGGAAGAACUACUUCCGGGAAUAUGUAAACAAGGGGUAUGACGACGAUUUCAAUCGCUCUGCGAGUUUACGUAAGUCAAAGAAUCGAGAAACAAGUUCCUCUAGUCAUAACUCUUCUAACAGUUAUCGUCAUAUGAAUGAGCGCCAUAGAGACACCCGAGACGUUCCGGACAAAGCAGGCAGAUCUCGGAGCAGAUCAGAAUCUCGUCGGGAGAACGAGAGGUACCGUGAAUCCGAAAGCGAUGAUUAUUACAGGGAACAGCAACGUCGAAGCCAAAGCGUCGACCGGUCUCGUCGUAGAUCUGAAAGCAGGUCCCGGAGACGCGAUGAUUACUACGACGACUGGGAAUCUGAUAGCGAUUAUCAUAGCCGGGACGAAAGGGGUCGUAGCAGGAGUGUGGAGCGUCGAAGUAGUCGUGGUCCAGAUCGUAGACCUAGCAGUAGACAUCGUACUCGUGACGAUUAUCGCAACCACUAUCGCAGUGACGAUUCUUUAUAAGAGGAAGCCGGCGUAGUGACAACAGAAGCGGCUAUAAAAGUGACAACAGAUACGACACCAGAGGAAGUUAUCGUAGAGACAAACGAGACGGGUAUCGGAGCGAUAAUCGAUAUGAUCACCGCGAGGGAUAUAGGAGCGAUAAUCGACAAGAUCAUCGCGAUAGAAUGGGAUCCGUAAGGGACAGGGACAGAAGAACUCGAACUGCAUCACGUGACCGUAGCGACAGUUACCGAUCACGAGCGACUUCCAGUAGUCGAUACGACAGAUAUUAGGAGAAACCGUCCGUAUUUCCCUCACUGCCAUCGAAAGUUUUUACUUAACAAUAUCAUCAUCAAUCAUUCGCUACUGUAGUGCUUGUAAAGUGUAAUUUGUUUAUAUAUCUAUAUGUUCCGACAUCUUUUUAUACACGUCUGUGUAAUAAAUCAUAAGA
rnacentral:misc_RNA from 1 species